UACGUAGGGUCCGAGCGUUGUCCGGAAUUACUGGGCGUAAAGAGCUCGUAGGUGGUUUGUCGCGUUGUUCGUGAAAACUCACAGCUCAACUGUGGGCGUGCGGGCGAUACGGGCAGACUGGAGUACUGCAGGGGAGACUGGAAUUCCUGGUGUAGCGGUGAAAUGCGCAGAUAUCAGGAAGAACACCCGUGGCGAAGGCGGCUCUCUGGGACGGUACUGACGCUGAGACGCGAAAGCGUGGGGAGCAAACAGG
rnacentral:rRNA from 1 species